AAAGAAGAAGCAGAGCGGAAAUUCAAACAAGUAGCUGAGGCAUAUGAAGUGUUAUCGGAUGCUAAAAAGCGGGACAUCUAUGACAAACAAAUAUGGCAAAGAAGGAUUAAAUGGUGGUGGAGGAGGAGGUGGAAGUCAUUUUGACAGUCCAUUUGAGUUUGGCUUCACAUUCCGGAACCCAGAUGAUGUCUUCAGGGAAUUUUUUGGUGGAAGGGACCCGUUUUCAUUUGACUUCUUUGAAGACCCAUUUGAUGACUUUUUUGGAAACCGAAGGGGUCCCCGAGGAAGUAGAAGCCGAGGUGCCGGCUCCUUUUUCUCUGCCUUCAGUGGAUUUCCUUCUUUUGGAAGUGGAUUUCCUGCUUUUGAUACAGGCUUUACUCCAUUCGGGUCACUAGGUCAUGGGGGCCUCACUUCAUUCUCUUCAGCGUCAUUUGGCGGUAGUGGAAUGGGCAACUUCAAAUCAAUAUCAACUUCAACUAAGAUAGUUAACGGCAAAAAAAAAUCACUACAAAGAGAAUUGUGGAGAACGGUCAAGAAAGAGUAGAAGUUGAAGAAGACGGACAGUUAAAGUCCUUGACGAUAAAUGGUAAGGAGCACCUGCUACGCUUGGAUAACAAGUAAUUCAAUGCACGCAUUUAACAGAAAUGUUAAACCAUAACAAGCACCAUUUGAGGAAUAACAGGAACUUUUUUUUGAAGAUUUCAAACGAACUCGACUUUCUGUAUAACUGUACCUAAUCUAAAGUAUUUAUAAAACAGCUCAUUGGAGCCCCCAUCUA